CUUUACAAGCUGAAGCAUCUUUCAAAAGUGGAGGUGAUUGCAAAUGAUCCUACUGGCUGCACCUUUAUGCUGAUGACAGGAAUCGGCUUCUUCAUGGCAUUCUAAACAUGUGUAAAGAGAUGUUAGGCCGCCUUCCCAAAGUUGUUAUAGACAUUGUUGAGAUGGCUCUGUGGG